AGAGUUUGAUCCUGGCUCAGGAUGAACGCUGGCGGCGUGCCUAACACAUGCAAGUUGAGCGAUCUUCUUCGGAAGAGAGCGGCGGACGGGUGAGUAACGCGUGGGUAACCUACCCUGUAUACACGGAUAACAUACCGAAAGGUAUGCUAAUACGAGAUAAUAUAUUUCAUUCGCAUGUUUGAAAUAUCAAAGCUCCGGCGGUACAGGAUGGACCCGCGUCUGAUUAGCUAGUUGGUAAGGUAACGGCUUACCAAGGCGACGAUGCAUAGCCGAGUUGAGAGACUGAUCGGCCACAUUGGGACUGAGACACGGCCCAAACUCCUACGGGAGGCAGCAGUAGGGAAUCUUCCACAAUGGACGCAAGUCUGAUGCAGCAACGCCGCGUGAAGGAGGAAGGCCUUCGGGUCGUAAACUUCUGUCCUCAGGGAAGAAAAAAAUGACGGUACCUGAGGAGGAAGCCCCGGCUAACUACGUGCCAGCAGCCGCGGUAACACGUAGGGGGCGAGCGUUAUCCGGAAUUACUGGGCGUAAAGAGUGCGUAGGUGGCUGAGCAAGCGCGGGGUUUAAUUUCACGGCCCAACCGUGAACCGCCCUGCGAACUGUUCAGCUUGAGUACAGGAGAGGAAGGCGGAAUUCCUAGUGUAGCGGUGAAAUGCGUAGAUAUUAGGAGGAACACCGGUGGCGAAGGCGGCCUUCUGGACUGAAACUGACACUGAGGCACGAAAGCGUGGGUAGCAAACAGGAUUAGAUACCCUGGUAGUCCACGCCGUAAACGAUGAGCACUAGGUGUCGGGCUCGAGAGAGUUCGGUGCCGGAGCAAACGCAUUAAGUGCUCCGCCUGGGGAGUACGCAUGCAAGUGUAAAACUCAAAGGAAUUGACGGGGACCCGCACAAGCAGCGGAGCAUGUGGUUUAAUUCGAAGCAACGCGAAGAACCUUACCAGAGCUUGACAUCCUCCUGACCGGGGAAGUAAUGUUCCCCUUCUCUUCGGAGCAGGAGUGACAGGUGGUGCAUGGUUGUCGUCAGCUCGUGUCGUGAGAUGUUGGGUCAAGUCCCGCAACGAGCGCAACCCUUGCUGUCAGUUGCCAUCAUUAAGUUGGGCACUCUGACGGGACUGCCGGGGAUAACCCGGAGGAAGGCGGGGAUGACGUCAAAUCAUCAUGCCCCUUAUGUUCUGGGCGACACACGUGCUACAAUGGCCGGCACAGAGGGAAGCGAAAGAGCGAUCUCAAGCAAACCCCUAAAGCCGGUCCCAGUUCGGACUGCAGGCUGAAACCCGCCUGCACGAAGUCGGAGUUGCUAGUAAUCGCGGAUCAGAAUGCCGCGGUGAAUGCGUUCCCGGGUCUUGUACACACCGCCCGUCA
rnacentral:rRNA from 1 species